GGUGUCUUUUCCCUCAAGCUACCUGCCUUGGACACUAUGGAUUGCCAGAGCUGACACUUGUUUCUCCACUGGGACACAACAGAGCUUCAUCCUCCACCAGUCCAGAGCCUGGAGUCUUUUCAGCAGUUUCCUACUUUGUUUGUCAUGAAGGGAUGGUGGAGCUGCAACAUAGCUGAUUGAAGCCACAGAGAAUGGAGAUUGCUGUGCACACCAUUAAUGUUACUAUGGCCCCAAGUGACUUGCUACUCAAGGAGCUAGAAGGCAACACUUGGUGGUACUGUGCAGCCUGCAGACUGAUGUCAGUCUUCACCAAAGCAACUUCCAAGUCGUUUCCCAUCUAGAAAGAGCUCGAUCAUGCACCGCUUGCAUUGUCCAAGGAGAGAUGCCAAGUGAAGCAAGCUUAAGGAAAUCGUUUUCUCCGCCUUCAUUGCUUUCCGUGUCAGACAUCUCAGUCAAUGAAUAAAUGACACAAAGAGUUGCAGAGCAGAGCCUGACCCAUGGACAUUCUACCCAACCGAUGCUUAGAGGUUCUGCACUUGCCACACCUUCUACGUCACACACAGCAGAGGGAAAGCUCCAGGAUGGACCUCUUUCUAAGGACUGAGAGCAGGAGGGGCA